AGCUUUGCGCAGUGGCAGUAUCGUAGCCAAUGAGGUUUAUCCGAGGCGCGAUUAUUGCUAAUUGAAAAAAAUUUUUUUUCCCUUAUAAACAAAAAGAAUAAAGCACUAUCAGUGAGUCAGCCCGUAAGUAGGCAAGCUUUUAGAAGC